rnacentral:rRNA from 1 species
AACCGAGAACUCCUACGGGAGGCAGCAGCCGCGGUAAUACGUAGGGUGCGAGCGUUAAUCGGAAUUACUGGGCGUAAAGCGUGCGCAGGCGGUUGUGUAAGUCAGAUGUGAAAUCCCCGGGCUCAACCUGGGAAUUGCAUUUGAGACUGCACGGCUAGAGUGUGUCAGAGGGGGGUAGAAUUCCACGUGUAGCAGUGAAAUGCGUAGAUAUGUGGAGGAAUACCGAUGGCGAAGGCAGCCCCCUGGGAUAACACUGACGCUCAUGCACGAAAGCGUGGGGAGCAAACAGGAUUAGAAACCCUUGUAGUCCGACUGAGA